rnacentral:rRNA from 1 species
AGUUUGAUCAUGGCUCAGAUUGAACGCUGGCGGCAGGCCUAACACAUGCAAGUCGAACGGUAGCACAGAGGAGCUUGCUCCUUGGGUGACGAGUGGCGGACGGGUGAGUAAUGUCUGGGAAACUGCCCGAUGGAGGGGGAUAACUACUGGAAACGGUAGCUAAUACCGCAUAACGUCGCAAGACCAAAGAGGGGGACCUUCGGGCCUCUUGCCAUCGGAUGUGCCCAGAUGGGAUUAGCUAGUAGGUGGGGUAACGGCUCACCUAGGCGACGAUCCCUAGCUGGUCUGAGAGGAUGACCAGCCACACUGGAACUGAGACACGGUCCAGACUCCUACGGGAGGCAGCAGUGGGGAAUAUUGCACAAUGGGCGCAAGCCUGAUGCAGCCAUGCCGCGUGUAUGAAGAAGGCCUUCGGGUUGUAAAGUACUUUCAGCGAGGAGGAAGGNGUUGAGGUUAAUAACCUCANCAAUUGACGUUACUCGCAGAAGAAGCACCGGCUAACUCCGUGCCAGCAGCCGCGGUAAUACGGAGGGUGCAAGCGUUAAUCGGAAUUACUGGGCGUAAAGCGCACGCAGGCGGUCUGUCAAGUCGGAUGUGAAAUCCCCGGGCUCAACCUGGGAACUGCAUCCGAAACUGGCAGGCUAGAGUCUUGUAGAGGGGGGUAGAAUUCCAGGUGUAGCGGUGAAAUGCGUAGAGAUCUGGAGGAAUACCGGUGGCGAAGGCGGCCCCCUGGACAAAGACUGACGCUCAGGUGCGAAAGCGUGGGGAGCAAACAGGAUUAGAUACCCUGGUAGUCCACGCCGUAAACGAUGUCGACUUGGAGGUUGUGCCCUUGAGGCGUGGCUUCCGGAGCUAACGCGUUAAGUCGACCGCCUGGGGAGUACGGCCGCAAGGUUAAAACUCAAAUGAAUUGACGGGGGCCCGCACAAGCGGUGGAGCAUGUGGUUUAAUUCGAUGCAACGCGAAGAACCUUACCUACUCUUGACAUCCAGAGAACUUUCCAGAGAUGGAUUGGUGCCUUCGGGAACUCUGAGACAGGUGCUGCAUGGCUGUCGUCAGCUCGUGUUGUGAAAUGUUGGGUUAAGUCCCGCAACGAGCGCAACCCUUAUCCUUUGUUGCCAGCGGUUAGGCCGGGAACUCAAAGGAGACUGCCAGUGAUAAACUGGAGGAAGGUGGGGAUGACGUCAAGUCAUCAUGNCCCUUNCGAGUAGGGCUACACACGUGCUACAAUGGCAUAUACAAAGAGAAGCGACCUCGCGAGAGCAAGCGGACCUCAUAAAGUAUGUCGUAGUCCGGAUUGGAGUCUGCAACUCGACUCCAUGAAGUCGGAAUCGCUAGUAAUCGUGGAUCAGAAUGCCACGGUGAAUACGUUCCCGGGCCUUGUACACACCGCCCGUCACACCAUGGGAGUGGGUUGCAAAAGAAGUAGGUAGCUUAACCUUCGGGAGGGCGCUUACCACUUUGUGAUUCAUGACUGGGG